ensembl:ncRNA M79.15 ncRNA
AUGUUUUAUACAAAUCUGCGAUACGAAUUCGUAUCGGUUGAAAGUGUGGGGAUGAAGUGUGAAAUGAAACAAAAA